rnacentral:rRNA from 1 species
UAAUACGUAGGAUGCAAGCGUUGUUCGGAAUUACUGGGCGUAAAGAGUACGUAGGCGGUAUGGUAAGUCUGAUAUUAAAGACUGAGGCUUAACCUCAGGACUGUAUCGGAAACUGCCAAACUAGAGGACAAUAGAGGAAGUCGGAAUUCUCAGUGUAGCGGUGAAAUGCGUAGAUAUUGGGAAGAACACCAGUGGCGAAAGCGGACUUCUGGGUUGUUACUGACGCUGAGGUACGAAAGCGUGGGGAGCAAACGGGAUUAGAUACCCCGGUAGUCCACGCUGUAAACGAUGGAUACUAGGUGUAGCCGGUCUCGACCCCGGCUGUGCCGUAGCUAACGCAAUAAGUAUCCCGCCUGGGGAGUAUGGCCGCAAGGUUG